AGGGAAUUCAAUAUUUUAUUUUUGUAAAUCACAUUUACUUUGGUACUUUCACACAGGCUGGCAGUGAUGUAAUAAAUUGUCAAGCUGGUAAUGCAAAAGAAAUAUUACAGCAGAUGUCACGCACAGAUGUGGAUGUGAUUUAUAGUUCUGUGGUUACUAAAAAGUAGCAGACUGUGAAACAGGGUUAAAGCACACAGUCAAGAUGCCACAGUACAAAGACAUGAGUCACCACCAACCGCAAAUUUGAAUGUUUGACUUCUAAGUCCAGGCAAUGUGAGCUGUUGGGUUGUUUUUGUGACACUAUGUCACAGUUUGUGGUUUGCUUUUUAAAUGCAUAGCAUGAAAACUAGAUGCAGGUGCAUUCAAUUUAGGAUGUUAUAAUUUGAGAUCACAAUUGCUUUAAACAGUUAAUAUGAGAGAGUUAUUCAAAAAUCACAGUCACCUUUCUGUGUAUCACAGCAACAACACAAUCAGACUUAAACUGUAAUCACAUAUAACAUCCAAGAUAAUGAAACGAUUCAUAAAUAUGUAUCUCAAAUAUUUGAAGAGCAUAUUUAGAAACAAUAAUAUAAAAUAUUAAAAAAAAAAUUCUCCACCUCUCUGAACUUGCACUGUCAGAAUAUGUGUUUGUGUUUUUUUUUCAAAUGUCUUUUCUCUAUUUUUCUUUUUUGUCCUUGACAUAGUUCUCAAUGAAAAACGUUUAAAAGCACCAUUUAGGUUCAUGAAUUCCAAGUAUGCGUAUUAUGUAUAUGAAUAAACUUUUAUUGUCUCUUUAAAAGGGGUUUUGUUGCUAUUUUUUUUUUAUAUUAACUCCACCUAGGUAAUGAGUGUACUGUACUGCCUCACGUCAGUCUUGACUCAGUACAGACAAAUAAGUUAUAAAAGGCUUUGAUAUGCCUCGUCCUUAUCUGAUGUAAGACUACGCAAAUCUAUUAUAGUCCUUAUUCCUCUGUGUUGUUUCUUUUGCACAACAUGCAAAUGCAUAGUUUGACCACAGUAGAAUAAUACAGACAGACUGAUCAGACCUCUAACUUCACAUAAUGUGUCAUAAAAGCCGAUAAUAUGUCAGUGACGUCGGAGAC